rnacentral:rRNA from 1 species
GCGGAGGAAAAGAAACCAACAGGGAUUGCCUCAGUAACGGCGAGUGAAGCGGCAACAGCUCAAAUUUGAAAUCUGACCCCUUCGGGGCCCGAGUUGUAAUUUGUAGAGGGUGUUUCGGGCGCGGCGCCGGUCUAAGUGCCUUGGAACAGGACGUCAUAGAGGGUGAGAAUCCCGUAUGUGACCGGCGAUCAAGCCCGUGUGAAGCCCCUUCGACGAGUCGAGUUGUUUGGGAAUGCAGCUCAAAAUGGGUGGUAAAUUCCAUCUAAAGCUAAAUAUUGGCCGGAGACCGAUAGCGGACAAGUAGAGUGAUCGAAAGAUGAAAAGCACUUUGGAAAGAGAGUCAAACAGUACGUGAAAUUGUUGAAAGGGAAGCGCUUGCAAUCAGACCGGCCCGGGGGUGAUCAGCCGCUGCUCGUCAGCUGGUGCACUCGCCCGCGAUCCGGCCAGCAUCGGUUUGGGCGGUGGGAUAAAAGCCCCGGGAAUGUAGCUUCUUUCGGGGAGUCUUAUAGCCCGGGGUGCAAUGCCGCCCGCCCGGACCGAGGACCGCGCUUCGGCUAGGAUGCUGGCGUAAUGGUUGCAAGCGACCCGUCUUGAAACACGGACCAAGGAGUCUAACAUCUAUGCGAGUGUUUGGGUGUCAAACCCAGGCGCGGAAUGAAAGUGAACGGAGGUGGGAGCCUGUCAAACGGUGCACCAUCGACCGAUCCAGAUGUCUUCGGAUGGAUUUGAGUAUGAGCAUAGCUGUUGGGACCCGAAAGAUGGUGAACUAUGCCCGGAUAGGGUGAAGCCAGAGGAAACUCUGGUGGAGGCUCGCAGCGGUUCUGACGUGCAAAUCGAUCGUCAAAUCUAGGCAUAGGGGCGAAAGACCA